rnacentral:ribozyme from 11 species
GCAAACAAACAAACAAGCAAUCAAGUAAGAAAGGAAGAAAGAAAAGAAGAAAGGAUCAGACAAGGUACUGAUGAGAGAAAUCGAAUCAAGGGAAACGCUCACUUGAGUCAGUGUCCCUCUUCCUCUUCUCUUCGGUUUUCUUUUAAGCUUCUC